GUUGAACGCUGGCGGCAUGCUUUACACAUGCAAGUCGAACGGUAACAGAUUAAGCUGACGAGUGGCGAACGGGUGAGUAAUGCAUCGGAACGUGCCCGGUCGGGGGGGAUAACGCAGCGAAAGCUGCGCUAAUACCGCAUACGAUCUGAGGAUGAAAGCGGGGGACCGUAAGGCCUCGCGCGAUCGGAGCGGCCGAUGUCAGAUUAGGUAGUUGGUGGGGUAAAGGCUCACCAAGCCAACGAUCUGUAGCUGGUCUGAGAGGACGACCAGCCACACUGGGACUGAGACACGGCCCAGACUCCUACGGGAGGCAGCAGUGGGGAAUUUUGGACAAUGGGCGAAAGCCUGAUCCAGCAAUGCCGCGUGCAGGAAGAAGGCCUUCGGGUUGUAAACUGCUUUUGUACGGAGCGAAAAGGUCUCCUCUAAUACAGGGGGCUCAUGACGGUACCGUAAGAAUAAGCACCGGCUAACUACGUGCCAGCCGCCGCUGUAA
rnacentral:rRNA from 1 species